rnacentral:rRNA from 1 species
UAGGGAAUCUUCGGCAAUGGGGGCAACCCUGACCGAGCAACGCCGCGUGAGUGAAGAAGGUUUUCGGAUCGUAAAGCUCUGUUUUAAGAGAAGAACGUGUGUGAGAGUGGAAAGUUCACACAGUGACGGUAACUUACCAGAAAGGGACGGCUAACUACGUGCCAGCAGCCGCGGUAAUACGUAGGUCCCGAGCGUUGUCCGGAUUUAUUGGGCGUAAAGCGAGCGCAGGCGGUUUAAUAAGUCUGAAGUUAAAGGCAGUGGCUUAACCAUUGUUCGCUUUGGAAACUGUUAAACUUGAGUGCAGAAGGGGAGAGUGGAAUUCCAUGUGUAGAGGUGAAAUGCGUAGAUAUAUGGAGGAACACCGGUGGCGAAAGCGGCUCUCUGGUCUGUAACUGACGCUGAGGCUCGAAAGCGUGGGGAGCAAACAGG